rnacentral:rRNA from 1 species
GGUGAACGCUGGCGGCGUGCCUAAUACAUGCAAGUCGAGCGAACAGACGAGGAGCUUGCUCCUCUGACGUUAGCGGCGGACGGGUGAGUAACACGUGGAUAACCUACCUAUAAGACUGGGAUAACUUCGGGAAACCGGAGCUAAUACCGGAUAAUAUAUUGAACCGCAUGGUUCAAUAGUGAAAGACGGUUUUGCUGUCACUUAUAGAUGGAUCUGCGCCGCAUUAGCUAGUUGGUAAGGUAACGGCUUACCAAGGCAACGAUGCGUAGCCGACCUGAGAGGGUGAUCGGCCACACUGGAACUGAGACACGGUCCAGACUCCUACGGGAGGCAGCAGUAGGGAAUCUUCCGCAAUGGGCGAAAGCCUGACGGAGCAACGCCGCGUGAGUGAUGAAGGUCUUCGGAUCGUAAAACUCUGUUAUUAGGGAAGAACAAAUGUGUAAGUAACUAUGCACGUCUUGACGGUACCUAAUCAGAAAGCCACGGCUAACUACGUG